rnacentral:rRNA from 1 species
UAGCGGAGGAAAAGAAACCAACUGGGAUUACCUUAGUAACGGCGAGUGAAGCGGUAAAAGCUCAAAUUUGAAAUCUGGUACUUUCAGUGCCCGAGUUGUAAUUUGUAGAAUUUGUCUUUGAUUAGGUCCUUGUCUAUGUUCCUUGGAACAGGACGUCAUAGAGGGUGAGAAUCCCGUUUGGCGAGGAUACCUUUUCUUUGUAAGACUUUUUCGAAGAGUCGAGUUGUUUGGGAAUGCAGCUCAAAGUGGGUGGUAAAUUCCAUCUAAAGCUAAAUAUUGGCGAGAGACCGAUAGCGAACAAGUACAGUGAUGGAAAGAUGAAAAGAACUUGAAAAGAGAGUGAAAAAGUACGUGAAAUUGUUGAAAGGGAAGGGCAUUUGAUCAGACAUGGUGUUUUUUGCAUGCACUCGCCUCUCGUGGGCUUGGGCCUCUCAAAAAUUUCACUGGGCCAACAUCAAUUCUGGCAGCAGGAUAAAUCAUUAAGAAUGUAGCUACUUCGGUAGUGUUAUAGCUUUUUGGAAUACUGUUAGCCGGGAUUGAGGACUGCGCUU